GAUCAUGGCUCAGGAUGAACGCUGGCGGCGUGCCUAAUACAUGCAAGUCGAACGAAGAAGUAAGCUUGCUUACUUCUUAGUGGCGAACGGGUGAGUAAUACAUAAGCAAUCUGCCCAUAUGCCUGGGAUAACCGUUGGAAACGAUGGCUAAUACCGGAUAGGUGAAUUGAAGGCAUCUUUGAUUCAUUAAAGUUGGGAUACAACACAUAUGGAUGAGCUUAUGGCGCAUUAGCUAGUUGGUGAGGUAACGGCUCACCAAGGCGAUGAUGCGUAGCCGACCUGAGAGGGUGACCGGCCACACUGGGACUGAGACACGGCCCAGACUCCUACGGGAGGCAACAGUAGGGAAUUUUCGGCAAUGGGGGAAACCCUGACCGAGCAACGCCGCGUGAGUGAAGAAGGCCUUCGGGUUGUAAAGCUCUGUUGUAAGGGAAGAAGAGAUCAUAGAGGGAAUGCUAUGAUUGUGACGGUACCUUACCAGAAAGCCACGGCUAACUACGUG
rnacentral:rRNA from 1 species